AGCGAACGCUGGCGGCAGGCUUAACACAUGCAAGUCGAACGGGCGUAGCAAUACGUCAGUGGCAGACGGGUGAGUAACGCGCGGGAACGUGCCUUUUGGUUCGGAACAACCCAGGGAAACUUGGGCUAAUACCGGAUAAGCCCUUACGGGGAAAGAUUUAUCGCCAAAAGAUCGGCCCGCGUCUGAUUAGCUAGUUGGUGAGGUAAUGGCUCACCAAGGCGACGAUCAGUAGCUGGUCUGAGAGGAUGAUCAGCCACACUGGGACUGAGACACGGCCCAGACUCCUACGGGAGGCAGCAGUGGGGAAUAUUGGACAAUGGGCGCAAGCCUGAUCCAGCCAUGCCGCGUGAGUGAUGAAGGCCCUAGGGUUGUAAAGCUCUUUUGUGCGGGAAGAUAAUGACGGUACCGCAAGAAUAAGCCCCGGCUAACUUCGUGCCAGCCGCCGCAGUAAGAC
rnacentral:rRNA from 1 species